rnacentral:rRNA from 1 species
GAAAAAGUUGGUGGUGAAAUCCCAGAGCUUAACUCUGGAACUGCCAUCAAAACUUUUCAGCUAGAGUUUGAUAGAGGAAAGCAGAAUUUCUAGUGUAGAGGUGAAAUUCGUAGAUAUUAGAAAGAAUACCAAUUGCGAAGGCAGCUUUCUGGAUCAUUACUGACACUGAGGAACGAAAGCAUGGGUAGCGAAGAGGAUUAGAUACCCUCGUAGUCCAUGCCGUAAACGAUGUGUGUUAGACGUUGGAAAUUUAUUUUCAGUGUCGCAGCGAAAGCGAUAAACACACCGCCUGGGGAGUACGACCGCAAGGUUAAAACUCAAAUGAAUUGACGGGGACCCGCACAAGUAGUGGAGCAUGUGGUUUAAUUCGAAGAUACGCGCAGAACCUUACCAACACUUGACAUGUUCGUCGCGACUUUAAGAGAUUAAAGUUUUCGGUUCGGCCGGACGAAACACAGGUGCUGCAUGGCUGUCGUCAGCUCGUGUCGUGAGAUGUUGGGUUAAGUCCCGCAACGAGCGCAACCCUCACUUUUAGUUGCCAUCAUUAAGUUGGGCACUCUGAAAGAACUGCCAGUGAUAAGCUGGAGGAAGGUGGGGAUGACGUCAAGUCCUCAUGGCCCUUACGUGUUGGGCUACACACGUGCUACAAUGGUAUCUACAACAGGAAGCAAAACAG